rnacentral:rRNA from 1 species
UACAGAGGUCUCAAGCGUUGUUCGGAUUCAUUGGGCGUAAAGGGUGCGUAGGCGGCGCGGUAAGUCGGGUGUGAAAUCUCGGAGCUUAACUCCGAAACUGCAUUCGAUACUGCCGUGCUUGAGGACUGGAGAGGAGACUGGAAUUUACGGUGUAGCGGUGAAAUGCGUAGAUAUCGUAAGGAAGACCAGUGGCGAAGGCGGGUCUCUGGGCCAUUACUGACGCUGAGGAGCGAAAGCGUGGGGAGUGAACAGG